rnacentral:rRNA from 1 species
GUUGUAUGGUUAAGUGACUAAGCGUACACGGUGGAUGCCUGGGCAGUCAGAGGCGAUGAAGGACGUACUAACUUGCGAUAAGCGUAGAUGAGGCAGUAAGAGCCACUUGAGUCUACGAUUUCCGAAUGGGGAAACCCAGCUGCAUAAGCAGUUAUCUCAAUGUGAAUACAUAGCAUUGUGAGGCGAACCGGGGGAACUGAAACAUCUAAGUACCCCGAGGAAGAGAAAUCAACCGAGAUUCCGGCAGUAGCGGCGAGCGAAACCGGAUUAGCCCUUAAGCUUAAUGAGCGCUAGGUGAAUGAGCUGGAAAGCUCAGCGAUACAGGGUGAUAGCCCCGUAACCAACGGCCAUCAAUAAGUGAAAACGAGUAGGACGGGACACGUGUUAUCCUGUCUGAAUAUGGGGGGACCAUCCUCCAAGGCUAAAUACUCCUGACUGACCGAUAGUGAACCAGUACCGUGAGGGAAAGGCGAAAAGAACCCC